GACGAACGCUGGCGGCGUGCUUAACACAUGCAAGUCGAACGGUAAGGCCCUUCGGGGUACACGAGUGGCGAACGGGUGAGUAACACGUGGGUGAUCUGCCCUGCACUUCGGGAUAAGCCUGGGAAACUGGGUCUAAUACCGGAUAGGACCACUGCCUGCAUGGGGGGUGGUGGAAAGCUUUUGCGGUGUGGGAUGGGCCCGCGGCCUAUCAGCUUGUUGGUGGGGGGAUGGCCUACCAAGGCGACGACGGGUAGCCGGCCUGGGAGGGUGACCGGCCACACUGGGACUGGGAUACGGCCCAGACGCCUACGGGAGGCAGCAGUGGGGAAUAUUGCACAAUGGGCGCAAGCCUGAUGCAGCGACGCCGCGUGAGGGAUGACGGCCUUCGGGUUGUAAACCUCUUUCAGCACCGACGAAGCGCAAGUGACGGUAGGUGCAGAAGAAGGACCGGCCAACUACGUGCCAGCCGCCGCAGUAA
rnacentral:rRNA from 1 species